GUAAACAUAUGUAGUUUAUGUUUCAGAUGUUAUUUUGAGUAAAUAAUUUUUUGGGGGUAAAAAAGGUCUUUAUUGUGUACCUUCAAUAAAUAA